UAAGUGGGUGCUGCCCAUAGGAGGAGUAUGGAGUGGAUAUGUGUAAACAUAAAACCAAUCGGGAAGGGGAAGGGGAGAGUGCAUACCUAAUGUGCCAGUGAGUGAGGGAAAAUAUAGCUGACAGGGAAUCUUCCAGAUAAACGGGUGUAGCAAAUAAUGGCAGACAAGCUGCAGGGGCAGGAUUUAGAAGAUAGACAGCGAAAGGUCAGGAAAUAAGGGAGGUAUAUCCCAGGAUUGACAUGGGGAAAGGCAGGAAAGCAGAUGGAAAACCACUUUGGGGAGAGUUUAAUUGUUUAAAAUAAUUGCAAACCAUUGUAAUUAUUUUAAACAAUUUCUUAAACAUAAACUUCAAAAUCCCACUACUAUGGCUUUUGAGGCCCCAAAGUGUUACUCUGAAAUUCUGUUUUAAUUUUAAAAUACAGUCUUUGAUCUAUAGACCUUUCUCACUCAAUAAAGUACAAAUCCAGAACAAAAUGUGGUACCUCAUUGACUAGUUUUAUGUCACAGACAUCUUUCCAGCCCUAUGUUCUCCAGUUCCUAUGGAGGUAGCUACGCUGCAGUCAUGAUCUCACAGUGGUCUACACAUACCGUCUAUCAUAUGCUCAUCUCUUGGGAACUAUCACCAAUGCAUCCCACAGGUGGCUACAAUUCCAAUUCCAAUGUCACCAACAUCUGGUUAUAGAUGACAAAAAUUUCCCUCUUCUCUUCAGACUCCGCGUACCUGGAAGAUCAACAAAAUGUUAUUUGAGAAUUACCGGGCUCCAUUUUCUUCUCUGUCUGGAAGGUUGUGCUAGAAUGAUAUUGCAAGAGCUACUACAACAGAAAGGUCCAUGCAA